rnacentral:rRNA from 1 species
GAUCCUGGCUCAGGAUGAACGCUAGCGGCAGGCUUAACACAUGCAAGUCGAGGGGCAGCGCGGGAUAGCAAUAUCCUGGCGGCGACCGGCGGAAGGGUGCGUGACGCGUGAGCGACAUGCCCGUUGCCCGGGGACAACCGGUGGAAACGCCGACUAAUCCCCGAUGGGAUAUUGUGCCGCAUGGCACGAUAUUAGUAAAGUUACGGCGGCGGACGGUAUUGGCUCGCGUCCGUAUUAGCGUGGUU